GUUUUCAAUGGCUUGUUAAACAUACCAGAGCUUAAAUGCUGAACAGCCGUUGCCGUUAUUUUCCCCUCACUGUUGCUCCAGCAUUCACUAGGUGAAGUCCUACUUUUCAAAAUCAGAAAGCUUUCUCUGUGGACCCUGUAGGACGUCUGCGAGUCAGUUGGCAAGUGAUUCAGCUCAAGUAAAGUGUCCUGCUCAUCUGAAGCCUUUUUGUGGAUCUUCCACCAGCCUUGUGAAGAGCCCAGAACAGUUUGGUGGUGGCUGUUAAGUGAAGAUGUCUCUCCCGUUGGUAGUGCUCAUAUGUCUGUCAGCUAUCCAGCUGUGUCUGGGAGAUCAGCCUGUGGAGGAAGUCGUCACAACAA